UCCUACGGGAGGCAGCAGUGGGGAAUCUUAGACAAUGGGCGCAAGCCUGAUCUAGCCAUGCCGCGUGUGUGAUGAAGGYCUUAGGRUCGUAAAGCACUUUCGCCAGGGAUGAUAAUGACAGUACCUGGUAAAGAAACCCCGGCUAACUCCGUGCCAGCAGCCGCGGUAAUACGGAGGGGGUUAGCGUUGUUCGGAAUUACUGGGCGUAAAGCGUACGUAGGCGGAUCAGAAAGUAGGGGGUGAAAUCCCAGGGCUCAACCCUGGAACUGCCUCCUAAACUCCUGGUCUUGAGUUCGAGAGAGGUGAGUGGAAUUCCAAGUGUAGAGGUGAAAUUCGUAGAUAUUUGGAGGAACACCAGUGGCGAAGGCGGCUCACUGGCUCGAUACUGACGCUGAGGUACGAAAGUGUGGGGAGCAAACAGGAUUAGAUACCCUGGUAGUCCACACCGUAAACGAURAAUGCCAGUCGUCGGGCARUAUACUGUUCGGUGACACACCUAACGGAUUAAGCAU
rnacentral:rRNA from 1 species